rnacentral:rRNA from 1 species
GAUGAACGCUGGCGGCGUGCCUAAUACAUGCAAGUCGAGCGAACAGACGAGGAGCUUGCUCCUCUGACGUUAGCGGCGGACGGGUGAGUAACACGUGGAUAACCUACCUAUAAGACUGGGAUAACUUCGGGAAACCGGAGCUAAUACCGGAUAAUAUAUUGAACCGCAUGGUUCAAUAGUGAAAGACGGUUUUGCUGUCACUUAUAGAUGGAUCCGCGCCGCAUUAGCUAGUUGGUAAGGUAACGGCUUACCAAGGCAACGAUGCGUAGCCGACCUGAGAGGGUGAUCGGCCACACUGGAACUGAUACACGGUCCAGACUCCUACGGGAGGCAGCAGUAGGGAAUCUUCCGCAAUGGGCGAAAGCCUGACGGAGCAACGCCGCGUGAGUGAUGAAGGUCUUCGGAUCGUAAAACUCUGUUAUUAGGGAAGAACAAAUGUGUAAGUAACUAUGCACGUCUUGACGGUACCUAAUCAGAAAGCCACGGCUAACUACGUG